rnacentral:rRNA from 1 species
CACCCACCAAUGCAAAAGACUACCGAGGGACCGAUAGCGUAUAGUACCGGGAGGGAAAGGUGAAAAGAACCCCGGGAGGGGAGUGAAAUAGAACCUGAAACACUGCACUUACAAGCUGUGGAAGCACAUUUCUUGUGUGACCGCGUACUAUUUGUAGAACGGGCCAACGAGUUACGUUAAGUAGCAAGGGUAAGCACUUAAGGUGUGGAGCCGUAGCGAAAGCGAGUUUUAACUGAGCGUUCAGUUACUUGACGUAGACCCGAAACCGGGCGACCUACCCAUGAGCAGGAUGAAGCGAAAGUAAAAUUUGGUGGAGGUUCGCACGCACGAGCGAUGAAAAGCUCGGAGAGGACGAGUGGGUCGCGGUGAAAGUCCAAACGAGCACGGAGAUAGACGGUCUUACCCGUAAUGGCUGUAGGACCAGACACGAGGGGAGGACGAAGGAGGGAGA